GAUUUUGAUGCUAGUUAUCCUUAUCCUGAUCCUGGUUUGAUCCUUAUCCUGAUGCUGGUUUGAAACUAGGUCAAUGCUAGUAAUGCUACCGGAAGUAGGAUUAUCCUGCCGGAAGUUGAUAAUUCAAAAACAGCAUCGCUAUUUUAAGCCAUUAAAAAUAAUGUUUGGGUAGGUGGAAUAGCCCUAGUGUGUGCAACGUGUAAGCAUGGAAACGUGAUGGACAAUGAACAUGAUGAAGUUUAUGUCAAAUCCAGAUGAAAAUUUAUUGCGUGUCCUGUGACUAUUUUAGCGAAAAUAUUAUGCUUUAGCCUAAAUGGAAUUUAAAGUCGUAAUCCAAGGAACCAAUAGAUCAUCAGUACAGUCACUACAACCACUCAGAGGGCCCAUGACAGAGUAAACAAAGCAGAAAUUCCUCCAGGAUUAAAGUAUGCUGGUCUUCUCUAUGGACCUAAAUCCAGCUGAUGAAAUUCUAUCUGUUAAAAUAGUGAAACUCAAGCCAGGAACUUCUGUUAAUCAGACAGUGACAUUAAAGAAAUCCAUUGAUGACAUACAUAUAUACAUUUUAAAGUUAUCUCCCACUUAGAUCUAAAAUGAAAUGGACAGAAUUUAAAGUUUAAAGUGGAUUUCAAGUGAUUUGUGUAUUGUACAUAAUUAGAUAUGAGAUGUAUGUAAAUAGAAAUGCAUC